rnacentral:tRNA from 1 species
GCUCAGUUGGUUAAUGCCAACUCUUGAUUUCAGCCCAGGUCAAGAUCUCAUGGUUUGUGGGUUCAAGCCCCACACUGGGCU